rnacentral:lncRNA from 1 species
CUACAUGAAAGAGUUGAGUUUAGGCUUAAAACCCUAAUGUUGACUGAAGGAAAAGAGUUCAGUUUAGGGUUUAAAACCCUAAUGCUGACUACAGGAAAGAGUUCAGUUUAGGGUUUAAAACCCUAAUGCUGACUACAGGAAAGAGUUCAGUUUAGGGUUUAAAACCCUAAUGUUGAUUGAAGGAAAAGAGUUCAGUUUAGGGUUUAAAACCCUAAUGCUGACUACAGGAAAGAGUUCAGUUUAGGGUUUAAAACCCCAAUGCUAACUGAAGGGAAAAGUUCAGUUUAGGGUUUAAAACCCUAAUGCUGACUACAGGAAAGAGUUCAGUUUAGGGUUUAAAACCCUAAUGAUGACUAAAGGGAAGAGUUCAGUUUAGGGUUUAAAACCCUAAUCCUGACUAAAGGGAAGAGUUUAGUUUAGUGUUUAAAACCCUAAUGCUGACUAAAGGAAAAGAGUUCAGUUUAGAGUUUAAAACCCUAAUGCUGACUGAAUGGAAAAGAGUUUAGUUUAGGGUUUAAAACCCUAAUGCUGACUGAAGGAAAAGAGUUCAGUUUAGGGUUUAAAACCCCAAUGCUGACUGAAGGAAAGAGUUUAGUUUAGGGUUUAAAACCCUAAUGCUGACUACAGGAGAGAGUUCAGUUUAGGGUAUAAAACCCUAAUGCUGACUAAAGGGAAAAAGUUCAGUUUAGGGUUUAAAACCCUAAUGCUGAUUAAAGGGAAAAAGUUCAGUUUAGGGUUUAAAACCCUAAUGCU